UACGGAGGGUGCAAGCGUUAAUCGGAAUUACGGGGCGUAAAGCGUGCGCAGGCGGUUUGUUAAGUCUGUUGUGAAAUCCCCGAGCUCAACUUGGGAAUUGCAAUGGAUACUGGCAGGCUGGAGUAUGGUAGAGGAAGGUGGAAUUCCCGGUGUAGCAGUGAAAUGCGUAGAGAUCGGGAGGAACACCAGUGGCGAAGGCGGCCUUCUGGACCAAUACUGACGCUCAUGCACGAAAGCGUGGGGAGCAAACAGG
rnacentral:rRNA from 1 species